CAGUAGCCGCGGGAAUACGUAGGGUGCAAGCGUUAAUCGGAAUUACUGGGCGUAAAGCGUGCGCAGGCGGUUAUAUAUGUCAGAUGUGAAAUCCCCGGGCUCAACCUGGGAACUGCAUUUGAGACUGUAUGGCUAGAGUGUGCCAGAGGGGGGUAGAAUUCCACGUGUAGCAGUGAAAUGCGUAGAUAUGUGGAGGAAUACCGAUGGCGAAGGCAGCCCCCUGGGAUAACACUGACGCUCAUGCACGAAAGCGUGGGGAGCGAACAGGAUUAGAUACCCCAGUAGUCCCUGUCUCUUAUAC
rnacentral:rRNA from 1 species